ACAUAUAUGAUGAUACUUAUAUUUAAGAUGUACCCUAUCAAAUGACAUGAAGUUAUAGCAAUAAAAUACAAUAAGCAAGAUUUGAAUUGCAGCAGGCCAAGUUUACGAGCUUAUUCCAUCUACGCCAGUGACUUACAACCUUACGACUUUUCACGGUGCGCCAGAGGGUUGUAUCCUGUUCUGCAAAUCACAUGCUAUAUGUCAUUUGGUAAGGCACAUCAUAAAUAUAAUUAUCAUCGUAUAU
rnacentral:lncRNA from 1 species